GGACGAAAGUCUGACGGAGCAACGCCGCGUGAGUGAAGAAGGUUUUCGGAUCGUAAAACUCUGUUUUCAGGGACGAAUGUGUGGAUUGUAAAUAAUGAUCCAUAAUGACGGUACCUGACAAGAAAGCCACGGCUAACUACGUGCCAGCAGCCGCGGUAAUACGUAGGUGGCAAGCGUUGUCCGGAAUUAUUGGGCGUAAAGCGCGCGCAGGUGGGAUAAUCAGUCUGAUGCUAAAGUUCGGGGCUUAACCCCGUGAAGCAUUGGAUACUGUUAUUCUUGAGUGCAGGAGAGGAAAGUGGAAUUCCUAGUGUAGCGGUGAAAUGCGUAGAUAUUAGGAGGAACACCAGUGGCGAAGGCGACUUUCUGGACUGUGUCUGACACUGAGGCGCGAAAGCCAGGGUAGUGAACGGGAUUAGAUACCCCGGUAAUCCUGGCCGUAAACGAUGGGUACUAGGUGUUGGGGGUAUCGACCCCUCCAGUGCCGGAGUUAACGCAAUAAGUACCCCGCCUGGGGAGUAC
rnacentral:rRNA from 1 species